ensembl:snRNA U2 U2 spliceosomal RNA
AUCAUUUCUCAGCCUUUUGGCUAAAAUCAAGUGCAGUAUCUGUUCUUAUCAGCUCCAUAUUUUCUUGACUACAUCUUUGUUGAGCAAAGAAAAUAGAAGGCAGCAUACAUGGUUGGGCACAUUUAUAAUGAAUAGAUUCAUUAACACUUUCCAGAGUUAACAUUCUAAGUGUU